rnacentral:rRNA from 1 species
CCUACGGGGCGCUGCAGUGAGGAAUAUUGGUCAAUGGACGAGAGUCUGAACCAGCCAAGUAGCGUGAAGGAUGACUGCCCUAUGGGUUGUAAACUUCUUUUAUAAAGGAAUAAAACGAGGCACGUGUGCCUUUUUGCAUGUACUUUAUGAAUAAGGAUCGGCUAACUCCGUGCCAGCAGCCGCGGUAAUACGGAGGAUCCGAGCGUUAUCCGGAUUUAUUGGGUUUAAAGGGAGCGUAGAUGGGUUGUUAAGUCAGUUGUGAAAGUUUGCGGCUCAACCGUAAAAUUGCAAUUGAUACUGGCAGUCGUGAGUACAGUUGAGGUACGCGGAAUUCGUGGUGUAGCGGUGAAAUGCUUAGAUAUCACGAAGAACCCCGAUUGCGAAGGCAGCUUACUAAACUGUGACUGACAUUGAUGCUCGAAAGUGUGGGUAUCAAACAGGAUUAGAUACCCCAGUAGUC